GUGUGUGUAGUGUGGCUCGACCAGGAGGAGAGACAGGGGAAGUGGCCACCUGCUACUUGCUUCUGGGACUUUCUGGAGCUGUUGGUGAACCUCAGGUCUUGCUGGACUGACGCUAUGUUGGUCAAGUCAAUGGGGUCUCGGUAGACUCUGGCCAGGUCUGAUGGAAGCCAGGUUUACUCAGAAGUUGUUUAUUUGAAGAAGACACAUUUAUUUGGUCUGGAGAAAGAAAAUCUGGCUGAGGUGAAAAUCCCUGAGCUGGCUCCAAGGCUCCCUGAAAGGAACAGCAAGUGUAUCAUCAGAUAACCGCCACCCAGCGAUCCCCUGGGAGCGCCCCUUGACCUUUUACCAAAGAUGGACCCACUACAUUCAAGGUCUCUUAUUCCCCCAGCAGUGCUGUUCUAGGUUAAUGCUAUUUUGGGAGCGUGGUUCUUCAUUUCAGUGUGAAUUUCCUCAUCUUUCCGCACAAAUUGAGUGAAAUCCUUAGUGCAUUUUUCUCUUAGAUGGAUGGAGGCUAAAAGAGAAUGGAAGGCCUCCAGCUGUUUGAGGCUCUGUCCUCAACGACAAUCAAAAUUCUCCAUCUUUUCUUGUUCUUGGCACUUUCUGAUUGAAAUAAGAUUCCAGCAUUUAUCUGCACCUGCAAUUUUGACAAGAAAGGAAAAUUUAAAAGACAAGUGAAAGAAUUCUCUGAGGGAAGUCAAUGAGUCGACAGUAGUCAGACGCCUGCGAAUCUCUUUUUGCAUUCCUCCGUCAAUUAAGCUACAGUCACAUAUUGGAGAGCAGAACUUAAGUCUGUCACUUUACUUCUCCAGACUCAGUUUUCUGUGCAAAAUGAGGAGAUAGGACUGGAUUAACAUUUCUCAGAAGGUGGUCCGAGGAAAACUGGACCUUCAAAAUGUUGAUAGUCCAUGAAUGAAGAAUUGGAGACGAAGUACAUUUAGGGAAUUCUGCGUACCGUCAUCUCCCUCUACAGCAUGGUGAUGCUCAUUAGCAUAUACAGGAUUCUUAAGAGUCCUACAGUAAAGAAAUGGGUU
rnacentral:lncRNA from 1 species